UUUUAUUGGCGGUAAUUUCACGUUUAUUUUCCGUGUCAAACGUGAUUCAUUCUUGGCUGUUGUACACACUAAAGGAGGUUUUCGAAUAAAUGGAAGACACGCGGGAUAAAGGAGAACUUAUGAAGGUGUUAAAGUCAUAAUACUUUCUACAUUAUGCUGUGCUGACCACGUGAUGGAGGUUACCAGGAAGUCAUAUACAUUUACAUAUGUCUGAGAUGUGUUAUCACCAAUAGCUAGAGCUCAGAUCAAGAAGCAAAGAUGAGUCGUAAAGGUGGACAAUCGUCGAGUCGUGACAUUGGUUUGAUGUUUUUCACCAACCUUCAGCUGCUUGGCUUUGACUCAGCAGCAAUGUCAGCCAUGUACUCCAUUCCAUUUAACAGGGAUAUGUUCAAAUUGCCGAACAAAAAGGGGUAUGAAGUGGUGGUGCAUUUUCUGUUCAGUAGGCUGAAUCUGACCAUGUGUAGAGAACAGUUCAG